CAGAUAAAAAUCAUUAUGACUUCUCUUAUGAAAAUUCUAGCUAAGAUAUCAUCAUGAUAAGAUCUCCAAGAAGCCCAGAUUCCCCAUAACUAGUAAUACUCUAAUAAUGAACUAGAAAAAAUAAUGAGAAUGAAAGUCAACAUAAAAUGGCAAUAAGAUUCCUGCUAGAAACUUGUAUUGUGUCUGAGUAGAGAGACAAGCCAGAAGAGGUAGAGUACACAAAAUCCAGGCAGUCUCUGUAGAGCUGCAGGAGGAGAGACAAGCAAGACAGAAGUAGAAUAGAGUUCAGGGAGCCCUGCAGAACCACAGAAGGAUGCAAGUCCAAGAGUAUAAUGGACCAGAAUCCAAUGAAUCGAUCUAGUUAUUAUGGAAAACAAUUUCAACUAUGGCCAAAGAGCCAAGUCAAAUAAAGUCAAUAAACUCUUAACUCUCAAUAUCUCUUUGACCUGGAUAUUACAUUGCUAGGCCUAGACCCAGAGAAAUAGUUUUGAAAAGUAGAAAAGCACCCCUAUGCACAAGAAUAUUUAUGGAAGUCCUUUUUAUCAUUGUGAAGAAUAGGAAAUAAGGGAUAAUAACCAUAAAUUAGUGAGUGGCUGAACAAAUUAUGGUAUGUAGGCAUUCAGGUAGUUGAAUGGAUAGUUCUGGGCAUGGAAUCAGGAAAAUCUGAGUACAAAUCUGACCUCAAACACUUAAUAACUCUGUGACCCUGAACAACUCAUCUAGUUUCAGUUUCCUCAUCUGUUAAAAAUGGGGAUGGUGAUAAUACCUACUUCCCAGGGUAUUUGUGAGGCUCAAAAAUCACAAGUUGCUUAUUACAGUGAAUGGUAUAUAGUGAGCAUUUUACAAAGGUUCAUUAUGAUGUUGUCUUUGAUGUUGAUGUUGAUGAUGAUGAUGAUGAUGCCAUAAGGAAAAAGGGAGAUGGAUGGUUUUAGAGAAACUGGAGAAAUUUUAGAGAAAUUGAACUAUCUCAGAGUAAAGUGAGUAAACCCAGAACAAUUUGUGUAACAGCAACAUUGUUUUUUAAAGCUUUUCUUAAAAGAACUUUGAAAGGGUUAUGAACUAUGAUCACUGAGUGCAAGAACCAAAGAUGUAUGAUAUCCACCCAUAUUACAGAAAAGUAAUGGUUUAGAAUCCAAGGUGCAUUUUUGGACAUGUACAAUGUUGAAAUUUGUUUUGCUUGGUUAUGUAUAUUUAUUAUGAAGAUUUUGUUUUGUUUUUCUUUUUUUUCCAAAAGACAGAGGUAAGGAGUGUAAGCUAAGAGGAAGAAGAGAUGGAAGAAUGAGAGAGGAUGGAACUGCUAAAGUAGAAAAGAAAUACAAAUUAUAUUGCUAUGAUGGAGAACAAGGAAGGAAAAAAAAGAGUCAGCAACAACAUGAUCAUUUUGUGCAAACUUCUAUUAAAUAAAGAGUCUCAAUUGA